CAGGUAACAUUCCUCACCAACGCCGAUCACGCAUGAGCCGAGAGACUCGACCAAAACGUGAACGGACGUUGUCCGCAUGAAGCGUAGAAUGCUUUGUUUUUGGGCAAAUAGAGGUCAUUGACCUCGUACCGCAUCGAUAUUCCACAUCCAAGAGAUCAAGCAAAACGAUAUGGGCCAACGACAAAAUCGCACUAUGAAAGCACGCAAGUCAUGGAACACAACGAAUGCUUCGGUGCCCACCACUCACCCCCUCUAUAAAAGGCGCAACAUAUGAAGGGAAAGGGACAUCGGGACAACAUCAUGCCUUCUCGAUAGGUAUACAACACAGAAAACCAUCAUCGGUCAAGGUGCUCGGCAACUUGAACCAGCAACUGAAGAAGCGUGCACGAGAUGCCGUCGCUGCCAAAGCAGGGAACCGA
rnacentral:misc_RNA from 1 species